GUGCCUAAGAGUUGAACUGGUCCCUGAUAUGGAACCCCCAUCUACUCUGUCAGCUAUCUCCAUUAUUUCUGUUUUUUGCUGAUCAUUUAGGAUGGGACAUCU